UAUUUUGAUUUUGGGAGAUCUCAACUACAAUAAUGAGAGGGCAAGUGGAGAAGGGGCAAGCCACAGUCCUUGCGAUUGCCAGGGAGAAUCUGGACACCCUAUUUUGGGAAAUGGCAAAAACUGUGAAUGUGUGCUGGAAAAAGAGGUAUCUGAGCGUAAAGAUUGUUGGAUGGUGGCUAUAUAGGUGGAGCAGGACCAACACACUCGGAUUCAAAGUUGAAUAUUUCGGCUAAGGAAACUGUGAAAUGCUUUAAUGAGACCUCAUACACAAACAUGCAGUCAGAUAAUUACUCUUCUGAAUUAUUUACAUAUUAUAUUUACGAGAUAAAUAUAAGUUCUACUACCUAAGCACACGAGUUUAAACACUGUACGUAAACCCAACAAAAGUAGUACAUGGACUUGAGCUAAAACGCAGCUAUUCCAAAUUUCUUGUAGUUUUCGACAAUGUUAUGUCUUUGAUUACUUUGUCAUUGUCAAAGUCACCAUAAAAUAAGCUUACAUGAGUAAUGUUACAUUUAUCAAUGAUACGAAUCCAAUUCUAAAUUCCCUACGAAGAGAAGAUACAUUUGAAUCUUUUAAAUUUCAAUCAUCUAAGUGUUGUGUUUCUAACAUUAACCAUGGUUUGUGUGGC
rnacentral:lncRNA from 1 species